rnacentral:rRNA from 1 species
GACGAACGCUGGCGGCGUGCUUAACACAUGCAAGUCGAACGGAAAGGCCCUGCUUUUGUUGGGUUCUCGAUUGGCGAACGGGUGAGUAACACGUGAGUAACCUGCCCUUGACUUUGGGAUAACUUCAGGAAACUGGGGCUCAUACCCGAUAGGAGCUCCUGCUGCGUGGUGGGGGUUGGAAAGUUUCGGCGGUUGGGGAUGGACUCGCGGCUUAUCAGCUUGUUUGUGGGGUAGUGGCUUACCAAGGCUUUGACGGGUAGCCGGCCUGAGAGGGUGACCGGCCACAUUGGGACUGCGAUACGGCCCAGACUGCUACGGGAGGCAGCAGUGGGGAAUAUUGCAGAAUGGGCGGAAGCCUGAUGCAGCAACGCCGCGUGCGGGAUGACGGCCUUCGGGUUGUAAACCGCUUUCGACUGUGACGAAGCGUGAGUGACGGUAAUGGGUAAAGAAGCACCGGCUAACUACGUG